CGGGCGCACGGCGGAUGCCUUGGCACAGGGAGCCGAUGAAGGACGCGGCAAGCUGCGAUAAUCCCCGGCGAGGAGCACACAUCCUUCGACCCGGGGGUCUCCGAAUGGGCGAACCCAUGCACAGCAGUGUGCAUAUCCCCGGCCCGAACACAUAGGGCCGGGGAGGACAACCCGGGGAACUGAAACAUCUAAGUACCCGGAGGAGAGGAAAUCAAUCUCGAGACUCCCCGAGUAGCGGCGAGCGAAAGGGGACCGAUGGCCAAACCGUCGAGCGGGCAUACCCGGCAGGGGUUCCGCCGACGGGGUUGCAGGGCCGCGCAUCCGGGGGCUGCCGCCCCCGGGCGCAGGUCCGGCUGGGGAGCGGAACGGCAUGGGAGGGCCGGCCGCAGCGGGUGACAGCCCCGUACGCGAACCCAGACCGGACGGCGCGACGCGGUCCCUGAGUAGGGCCGGGCACGUGAAACCCGGUCCGAACCUGGGUGGACCACCAUCCAAGCCUGAGUACUACCCUGUGACCGAUAGCGCACCAGUACCGUGAGGGAAAGGUGAAAAGCACCCCGGGAGGGGAGUGAAACAGUACCUGAAACCGUGCGCCCACGAGCAGUCGGAGCACCUUUAUGGUGUGACGGCGUGCCUUUUGUAGAAUGAGCCAGCGAGUCGCUGGCGCGGGGCGAGGUUAACCGAAAGGGAGCCGGAGCGAAAGCGAGCCUUAACAGGGCGACUUGAGUCCCGCGCCGCGGACGCGAAGCCGGGUGAGCUAUCCGUGGGCAGGCUGAAGCGGGGGUAAGACCCCGUGGAGGGCCGAACGCACGUCGGUUGAAAACGGCGGCGAUGACCUGCGGAUAGGGGUGAAAGGCCAAUCAAACCCGGAGAUAUCUCGUUCUCCCCGAAAUAGCUUUAGGGCUAGCGUCGCGCGUUCACCGCCGGAGGUAGAGCACCGGAUGGACGAGGGGGCUUCGCCGCCUACCGAAUCCAACCGAACUCCGAAUGCCGGCGGCCCAGAGCGCGGCAGUCAGAGCAUGUGGGCUAAGCUGUGUGCUCGAGAGGGAAACAGCCCGGACCGCCCGCUAAGGUCCCCAAGUUCCAGCCGAGUGGCAAAGGAUGUGCGUCCGCCCAGACAACCAGGAUGUUGGCUUAGAAGCAGCCAUCCAUUCAAAGAGUGCGUAACAGCUCACUGGUCGAGUGGACAUGCGCCGACAAUACACGGGGCUAAGCUGGACACCGAAGCGGCGGGAUUUUACCUAAGUAGAAUCGGUAGGGGAGCUUCCCAUGGGCGGAGAAGCCGGAGGGCGACCGACGGGGGAGCGCAUGGGAGUGAGAAUGCUGGCAUGAGUAGCGAGAGACGAGAGAGUAACUCGUCCGCCGUGAACCCGAGGUUUCCUGGGCAAGGCUAAUCCUCCCAGGGUCAGUCGGGGGCUAAGGCGAGGCCGGGAGGCGUAGCCGACGCGCAGCAGGCAGACAUUCCUGCACCGCGCACGCGGCGCUACGAUCGACGGGGCGACGGAUGGGGGUGGCUCGGCGGGGUUCUGGACGUCCCCGUGAUGGAGCGCGGCCCGCGGACCAGGGAAAUCCGGUCCGCACGAGGGCGAGGCUCCGGACGAAGCGACUGAGCGAAGCGAGUGAGCCCGAGGUCCCUAGAAAAACCCCUAGGCAGGCGCGUGCGCGCCCGUACCGCAAACCGACACAGGUGGGUGGGUAGAACAUACCGAGGCGAUCGGGUCAACCAUGGUCAAGGAACUCGGCACAAUGGCCCCGUAACUUCGGGAGAAGGGGUGCCCGCGCGUACGUGAACCGGCUUGCCCGGGGAGCGGAGGCGGGCCGCAGUGGAGAGGCCCAAGCGACUGUUUACCAAAAACACAGGACUCUGCAGAAGCCGCAAGGCGACGUAUAGGGUCUGACGCCUGCCCGGUGCCGGAAGGUCACGCGGAGGAGUUAGCCGCAAGGCGAAGCCCCGAAGCCAAGCCCCGGUAAACGGCGGCCGUAACUAUAACGGUCCUAAGGUAGCGAAAUUCCUUGUCGGGUAAGUUCCGACCUGCACGAAAGGCGCAACGACUUGGGCGCUGUCUCGACCAUGGACCCGGUGAAAUUGCACUGGUCGUGAAGAUGCGACUUACCCGCGGAAGGACGGAAAGACCCCGUGAACCUUCACUGCAGCUUGGCAUUGGCCGCUGGUCCCGCGUGUAGAGGAUAGGCAGGAGGCACAGAUCCGGAGGCGCCAGCCCCCGGGGAGCCGCCCUUGGAAUACUGCCCUCGCGCGACCGGCGUCCUAACCCGAGGCCGUCAACCGGCUCGGGGACCGUGCCCGGCGGGCAGUUUUACUUGGGCGGGCCCCCCCCCAAAGGGGAACCGGGCGCGCGCAAGUG
rnacentral:rRNA from 1 species